rnacentral:rRNA from 1 species
GUUAGGAAUCUUGCGCAAUGGGCGAAAGCCUGACGCAGCGACGCCUCGUGGGGGAUGAAGGCUCUCGGGUUGUAAACCCCUUUCGGCAGGAACGAAAUUGACGGUACCUGAAGAAGAAGCACCGGCCAACUACGUGCCAGCAGCCGCGGUAAUACGUAGGGUGCAAGCGUUGUCCGGAUUUAUUGGGCGUAAAGAGCUCGUAGGCGGCUUCGUAAGUCGGGUGUGAAACCUCCAGGCUUAACCUGGAGACGCCACCCGAUACUGCGAUAGCUAGAGUCUGGUAGGGGAUCACGGAAUUCCUGGUGUAGCGGUGAAAUGCGCAGAUAUCAGGAGGAACACCGAUGGCGAAGGCAGUGAUCUGGGCCAGUACUGACGCUGAGGAGCGAAAGCGUGGGGAGCAAACAGGAUUAGAAACCCUAGUAGUCC